rnacentral:rRNA from 1 species
CUUUGGGAUAACCCUCGGAAACGGGGGCUAAUACCGGAUAUGACUUCCUGCCGCAUGGUGGGGGGUGGAAAGUUUUUUCGGCUUGGGAUGGGCUCGCGGCCUAUCAGCUUGUUGGUGGGGUGAUGGCCUACCAAGGCGACGACGGGUAGCCGGCCUGAGAGGGCGACUGGCCACACUGGGACUGAGGCACGGCCCAGACUCCUACGGGAGGCAGCGGUGGGGAAUAUUGCACAAUGGGCGGAAGCCUGAUGCAGCGACGCCGCGUGAGGGAUGACGGCCUUCGGGUUGUAAACCUCUUUCAGCAGGGACGAAGCGUAAGUGACGGUACCUGCAGAAGAAGCGCCGGCCGACUACGUGCCAGCAGCCGCGGUAAGACGUAGGGCGCGAGCGUUGUCCGGAUUUAUUGGGCGUAAAGAGCUCGUAGGCGGCUUGUCGCGUCGACUGUGAAAACCCGCGGCUCAACUGCGGGCUUGCAGCCGAUACGGGCAGGCUAGAGUUCGGUGGGGGAGACUGGAAUUCCUGGUGUAGCGGUGAAAUGCGCAAAUAUCAGGAGGAACACCAGUGGCGAAGGCGGGUCUCUGGGCCGAUACUGACGCUGAGGAGCGAAAGCGUGGGGAGCGAACAGGAUUAGAUACCCUGGUAGUCCACGCUGUAAACGUUGGGCGC